rnacentral:rRNA from 1 species
UACGGAGGGUGCAAGCGUUAUCCGGAUUCACUGGGUUUAAAGGGUGCGUAGGUGGGCAGGUAAGUCAGUGGUGAAAUCUCCGGGCUCAACCCGGAAACUGCCAUUGAUACUAUCAGUCUUGAAUAUCGUGGAGGUAAGCGGAAUAUGUCAUGUAGCGGUGAAAUGCUUAGAUAUGACAUAGAACACCAAUUGCGAAGGCAGCUUACUACCCGAAUAUUGACACUGAGGCACGAAAGCAUGGGGAGCGAACAGG